rnacentral:tRNA from 2 species
GGGCGUUUAGCUCAGUUGGUAGAGCAGCUGACUCUUAAUCAGCGGGUCGUAGGUUCGAGCCCUACAACGCCCACCA